rnacentral:rRNA from 1 species
AACGAACGCUGGCGGCAUGCCUAACACAUGCAAGUCGAACGAGACCUUCGGGUCUAGUGGCGCACGGGUGCGUAACGCGUGGGAACCUGCCCUUAGGUUCGGAAUAACUCCCCGAAAGGUGUGCUAAUACCGGAUAAUGUCUUCGGACCAAAGAUUUAUCGCCUUUGGAUGGGCCCGCGUUGGAUUAGCUGGUUGGUAGGGUAAAAGCCUACCAAGGCGACGAUGCAUAGCUGGUCUGAUAGGAUGAUCCGCCACACUGGGACUGAGACACGGCCCAGACUCCUACGGGAGGCAGCAGUAGGGAAUAUUAGACAAUGGGCGAAAGCCUGAUACAGCAAUGCCGCGUGAGUGAUGAAGGCCUUAGGGUUGUAAAGCUCUUUUACCCGGGAUGAUAAUGACAGUAACGGGAGAAUAAGCUCCGGCUAACUCCGUG